rnacentral:rRNA from 1 species
CGUAACAAGGUUUCCGUAGGUGAACCUGCGGAAGGAUCAUUAAUAAUCGGUCCCCUCGGGGAUGUCUGAAACCCUUGAAUAUAUAACUUUGUUGCUUUGGCGGGCCGCCGUAUGGCGUUGGCCCCGGCUGACCGUGCCCGCCAGAGGUCAAAACUCGUUUGUUUAAUGAUGUCUGAGUACUAUAUAAUAGUUAAAACUUUCAACAACGGAUCUCUUGGUUCUGGCAUCGAUGAAGAACGCAGCGAAAUGCGAUAAGUAAUGUGAAUUGCAGAAUUCAGUGAAUCAUCGAAUCUUUGAACGCACAUUGCGCCCCGUGGUAUUCCGCGGGGCAUGCCUGUUCGAGCGUCAUUAUGACCAAUCCCGCAAGGGGUCUUGGGGCCCGCCUCUCCUGGCGGCUCUUAAAAUCAGUGGCGGCGCCAUCGUGCUCUAAGCGUAGUAAUACUCCUCGCUACAGAUCCACGGUGGAUGCUUGCCAGCAACCCUUAACUCAAUAGGUUGACCUCGGAUCUGGUAGGGAUACCCGCUGAACUUAAGCAUAUCAAUAAGCGGAGGAAAAGAAACCAACAGGGAUUGCCUCAGUAACGGCGAGUGAAGCGGCAACAGCUCAAAUUUGAAAUCUGGCCCUUUCAGGGUCCGAGUUGUAAUUUGUAGAAGAUGCUUUGGGCGUGGCUCCGGUCUAAGUUCCUUGGAACAGGACGUCAUAGAGGGUGAGAAUCCCGUAUGUGACUGGGUGCCUUCGUCCGUGUAAAGCUCUUUCGACGAGUCGAGUUGUUUGGGAAUGCAGCUCAAAAUGGGUGGUAAAUUUCAUCUAAAGCUAAAUAUUGGCCAGAGACCGAUAGCGCACAAGUAGAGUGAUCGAAAGAUGAAAAGCACUUUGGAAAGAGAGUUAAACAGUACGUGAAAUUGUUGAAAGGGAAGCGCUUGCAAUCAGACUUGCGCGUGGUUGAUCAUCCGAGCUUCUGCCCGGUGCACUCGAUCACGCUCAGGCCAGCAUCGGUUUGGGUGGUUAGAUAAAGGCCUUGGGAAUGUAGCUUCUUUCGGGGAGUGUUAUAGCCCUCGGUGCAAUGUAGCCUAUCCGGACCGAGGACCGCGCUUCGGCUAGGAUGCUGGCGUAAUGGUUGUAAGCGACC